CCAGCAAUGGCUGUGAGGUGGGCGGCGGCGCAACAAUGGGGCGCAGAGGGUGUCCGGAGGCAGAAGGAUGGCUGCCGCCUCCACGGCCGCAGCAACCGGCGGCCCGGGGAAGCGAAAGAGCUCUUUCCCCGCCCGUGCGCCCGCGCUCUGCCUGGCGCUGGCUUUGGCUCUGGGCCACGGUGAGGGCUGCCGCUCUUCUCGGUCUCCGCUGGGGCGCGCGGGAAUGGCGAGAGGGCGGGGAGAACACGUGGCCUGGCCCCACCCCCUUUCCUGGGGUCCCUGGCGGGGAGCAAAAGUCGCUUUGGGCGGGAAAAGAGGGGUCGCUUCGAGGGCGGAUCAGAGGUUGGUCCUGUUAAGGUCGAUCUCUGGGUCGCGGGCAGUCUUAGUUACUGCAGACCCUCGGCGUUCCCUCUCGGUGCAGUGUGUCCGGCUCACGCCGAGGACUUGUAAAUGAAGCUUGCAAUCCUGAAUAGGUUUACGGAGUCCAUUGUAUUAAUUGGGCCUUACUUCUGAGAAAGUGUGCUUUGGAUUCCAAGUUUCUUUGACCAUUCUCUAGUCUACGUAUUUUUUAUAUGCAGUAUAUAAUCACCAAAAAGAAAAAUCUUGGGAACUUAAGUAUAAAUUGAGCAGCCAAUUCCACAGCUAUACUUGUAUCUUAAGAAUAGUAAACAAAAGAAUAUGAGCAAUGAAACAUUUGUGAACGAAAAUCCUAAUAGUACAAUGUGAAAUUGGAUGUGCUCUGCUUCUGAUGGAAUGAGCUAAUAUCAAUUACUUUAAAAUAAACUUGCUGCAUGCUUUUAAAGUCCCAAAGUUUGAUCCAUCAAAGAAGCUCUCAGUACUGAGCACCAUUACAGAAUGAAAGUGCAUCCAAUUAUCUCUGGAAACUCAUAUAAAUUCAUGUGUCCGAUUGACAAAUAUCCCUUUUAUUAGAAGUAAAUAUUUUGUUAUGUGAGAUUCAGAAUCACAAAAGAAGGCUGUCUGUGGGUGAAGAGCCUUCUGGGUAGCUGUGAAAUGUCUUGUGUGUGUUUUUCUAUGCACAUUAGCUGCAGCAGGAACAGGUUCAUUUGGGAACUGAUUAUACAGGCUAAUUCCACUUCAUAACAGGAUUUGCUUUCCUUAGCUGUUAGAAUUGCCAUGAAGAAAGUACAAAGCUUUAAAGUGGGUUGCGGCUCAGUAACAAAACAAAACAGAGAGUUUAAAGGAUGGUUCAAACCAUUUCUUGCUUUGGCUCAGUUAUGACCAAACACCUUCUGUUACCCUUCUGUUACCAGAUACUCAUGGGCAGAUCAUAAUGGUUCCUGCCUGUAAGUGAUUCUAGACUCUGGGCUUGCCCCCCCCCCAAGACCCCACCAAUGUAGGAAGUGUUAAGUUGUGGGUGAACAUAUCAGACGACACAGCGAUUCUUCAAACAGCUCUUGAUUAUUCACAGAACAGAACUGAACUGAAGGGUUCAGUCAGCCUGCUUAUAUAGCGCUCCAGUACAACGUAACUGUAACAAUUUUCUAAAGCUAUCCAAUCACUGAACGUCACUUUCGAUCCCUUAUUUGCAUAACUAUCUACAGUAUCCCCCUGCUGGCCCAGGGUGAGAACUUCAGUACAUAACAGGAAGCAGCAGCAAAAAAUAGGGGGAGGGAUUAAAAUAUAGGUGGUUCUGGGGUGGGUGGAAAGGUUGAAAUCUCUCUUCCCAGCCCAGUGACCUAAUAGGGAUGCAGAUUGCCUGUUCCCCACUCAUCAGAUCAAUCAUUUGAUGAGUAGGGAAAGGGUGAUAAUUCUGCUUCUCAGCUGAUCUGCAGGCUGUGUGUCCUGCAUCUCUCCAAUAUUGUGGGAUAGCUCCACCCACUUCUGGGUGGCUUGGGCCAAAGGCAAUGGCACCCCUUUGGCCUAGCUAACCCUUUCUCAAACCUUAAACCAUUUUUUUUCUAUUCUAAGUCAAUUUUUCCAGAAGUUGUGGUUGUGAUCUUUCCAGGGAUUUUCCCAGGGAUUUUCUCUAUCAGUUGGCAUUUCUGCAGUGACUAUGUCUGGAGGGUUCUUGAGAUCAUGGAAAUAAGUGUCAUAGUCUGUGGCACAAGAACUUGCAGCUGUGCAGUAUGUGGAACUUCUCCUCAGUCCCCCCCCUCAAAUCUUCUCCAGAAUUUUAGGGGAACCCCCCAAGCAGGUUGCAUGGGAAGAGGAAUCUCCAUUGUGCAGCCAAAAUGCAUUGUGCUAAUGGAAUGACGGUGUUAGAUACCAUCCAUAUGUUUUUCAUGACUAUUUUGUUCUGCCUGUAAAUGCAGCUGCAUUGAUUUUUAGAUGUUGUUUUUAAUCAAUUUUAUUAUAAACCACCUCGAGGUCCCCCCCCCAUAAUGGGUGAUAUAUCAAUAUCUUAAGCAAAAAUAAAUAAAUAUUCAAAGUAGGCUAACUUAUGCAUGCCCUCGUCUAGCUUUACAUUGCUCUAAAGUAAACUGUGUAAUUCUAUUGCUUUAAAGGGACCUGGUUGGUAUUUUGUUCUGCAACCGCCAAUAUUGCAGCUGUUAUAGUGUCCACACCAGCAGAACUGAUUGUGGAGAUUGGGAAAGUAGCGAAGCUUCCAUGCAAGUUCACAUCAUCAGAGAAGAUUACUACUGCAGCCUCUGCUACCUGGAGCUAUCGAAAACGGGGAACAGAUGACCGUCCCAUAACUGUAAGAGUUAAUGCCAGAGGGAAAGCUAGAUUUGCAUUAGAUUUUGUGGUGAAAGUGGAUUACAGGUUUGGAAACCACUACUUUUCUUUUGUCAACUGAAUGAAUGCCUUAUUGAAGCAAUGUAUUGUUGCACGCCACCCUAAUCUCUGAGUGUUACAAGAUUCCAGGGGUUCCAGGUGCUUACCAUAGGUUUGGUUUCCUCAGAAUGAGGGGCAGCAGAGACUGGGGGGGUCUUUAUGAUAUAUGGUUUAUUUACACAUAUAUGCAACCUGACCCUGUGGUGCAGGGGCUUACAGCAUUAACACGCCAGCAGGUCUUGCUUCUCCCACAACCUUGGAUUCCAGCAGAAACCAAGCAUGUCUCCCCCUCACAGGCUCCUGCCUGCAGCCUGCUUCUAGCAUCUAGCUCUCACACAUACCAACUCUGGCUUUUGUCCUUCUAACCACCAGCCAGUAGGGGGCACUGGUGGGGAGACGCCCAUUUGCUCAGAGCCAUUUCCUUUGUUACCUUAAGGACCCAUAAUUAGGGGCAGUGUUUGAAACUCCCAUUGUUCUAGGCACAUUGUGCGCCCUGGAAUUUCAUUAGUGCAAGCAAUUUCUGACCUCUGGGCCCAAUACUGCACCUAAAAUUUCAGUUUAAAACUGUGGAGUGGAAGGAAAGGAGGACCUUUUUCUGCCUCCCCACUUCCAGCUACUCUCUGAAGACUGGAGAAGACACCCUCUGAAUAAUAUUAGAGGGGUGGGCAGGGGAAGGACUGGACCAUGUGAAAAAUGAACAUAAAAUUUUAGCUGAAUUUCAUUCAUUUUCAGCUUUGUAUUCUUGUCAUUUAAAAAUCGUGUCCAGAGAUUCUAUUGUUGUGCCCAUAACCUAGGUUUAAGGUGCCAUUUAACUCCUAGCUUUCAUAUCUCCAUUUCUAGCAUUGCUUAGGGGGCAAUUACCUCACCAAAAAGCUGGUCUGGCUAUUUCAGCAAUCAAAUCCUUGUUGGAUCCUGGAAUUAGAAGUCUAACCUCCCACCAAACUCACAACUGUAUUGUCUGUUGUGUAUUGACAGCACUCAAUAAGAACCAAAUGCGUUUUUCCACACAGGAACAAAAUGUGGAUUUGUACCUCCCUGUCCUGCUAUUAACAUCCUCCCCAUCCCAGUGAUGUCUCAGACUUUCCUCACUUUCAGUUUGGGGUUUUUCAAUCCUGGCUGUUGUAGACUUUCCAAUAAUUGCAAAUCCCACAUUAAAAGUACAAGACAACACUGGGAUAGGGAGAGACUUGUUUGGAUGCCCUUACAUUGAUGUGGAAACAGGCAAGUGCAAAUCCACAUUUUGCUCUAGUGUGGAAAAGCCCCAUAUUUUUGCCUGUCCUCAAAUUGCAGUCUUUGAGAUACUUUGCUCACAUAUUUCUUCUAUUGAUCUCUCUCCCUUUCAUUUAACAGAAUUACUUAUUUGUGUCUCUUUGUGGUCUUUUUAUUAAUGUGUUCCUGCAAAGUUAAUCACGGUUUGAUUUAAAAUUUGUAUCCCGCUUCUUCAGCAACUAUGUUCAACUCAAAGCAGCUAUUAACAAAGUGAUUGUGUUUGGUUUUAUGCUUACAGUUUUUCUAUUACUCAAAUGAGAAAGCAUAUGAUGGGAAGAAUACACAAUUCACUGGCCGCAGCACAUGGGCUGGAGAUUUUUUAAAGCAAGAUGCAUCCAUCAAGAUAGAAAACAUGCAACCAGCAGACAAUGGCACUUAUUUCUGUGAUGUUAAGAACCCUCCAGAUGUAGUCACUGAAGAAAGGCCAAUUGAAGUUAAAGUUGUGGAGAAAGAGAAUAUUCCUCCAAGCUCCGGAAAUAUUUCAUCCUGCUGGCUACUUGUACUUCAGUUCUGCUGCAUUCUAGCCUCUUUGCCAAACUACUUGUUCUGAAAAUAAAAUACACCUCUCAUGGCAAUUGAGAAUGUUCUCCCCUAUCUUAUUUAUCUGGACACUUAGCAAUGGGGUUGAGAAGGAAUUGGGAUGAGUUGCAAUAUGCAAGACAAAUAAUAUUGCCCCGUUGAAAUAGCAACUAACUAAAAUGUACUAAAAGCUCAUUCCCCCAUGACAACCUUAAUCCUAGUCAGCAAAGGGAAAUUUUGCAGCACCUCCUCCUCUGCAGGAAGGUUGUUUCUUAGUUAUGAAAUGACCACUGAGAUUUUGUUUGUGUGUGUGUGUGUGUUUUUAUAUACAUGACUUGGAUGACUAGAUGGAUGUUGGAUGAAUAGAAUAAAAAGGGCAUUUCAGAAAUGUCUAAUGAAUUACAAUGCCACCUUGCUUUUGCUGUCAAGGUGAUAUGAAUUCAGCUUUAUGUCUUUUAAAGAAUAUUUAUUCCAAUUUUAAGAUUACAG